rnacentral:rRNA from 1 species
GCGUAUAUGUAANUUGUUGCGGUUGNAAAGCUCGUAGUUGGACUUCUGGCGUCCGCAUUCUGUCCGCCUUGUGUGAUGAUGGUUUGCGGGCGUCGUUUNUGUCGACSGUGCGUGUCGGACUUCACUGGCCGGUGCGCUCUCUGUCGGCGACKUUACUUUGAGGAAAUCASAGUGCUCAAAGCARGCGUUUGCUCGUGACUUCACUAGCAYGGAAUAACACASAUGGGCUCUUUUUCGCAACGUUGGUCUGCGUCAACUGAGCAACGAUCGAURGAGACGGUCGGGGGCAUUCGUAUUGCGCAGUUAGAGGUGAAAUUCUCCGAUCUGCGCAAGACGCASUAAUGCGAAAGCAGUUGCCAAGGACGUUCUCUUAUGAUCAAGAGCGAAAGUCGGGGGAUCAAAGAUGAUUAGAUACCGUCRUARUCCCGACCAUAAAUGAUGCCAACUGAGCGUCGGCGACGCGGCUGUCAGCCGGACGUCGGCGCUCUUGAGAGAAAUUAAAGUCUUUGGGCUCCGGGGGUAGUAUGGUCGCAAGUCUGAAACUKGAAGGAAUUGACGGAAGGGCACCACAAGGCGUGGAUGUUGCGGCUUAAUUUGACUCAACACGGGAAAGCUUACUAGGUUUGGACACUUGAAUGAGGGACAUAUUGAAGCUCUYACCUUUUUUUGUGGAUGGUGGUGCAUGGUCGUUCUCAGCCCGUGGGUUGACCUGUCAGGUUUACUCCGGUAACGCGCGAGACCUCGGUUUGCUAAAUAGACACGGCUGUUUCGGCACCCGUGAUCUUCUUAGAGAGAGUCUUGACGAGAGUUGAGGGAAGUCGAGGCAAUAACAGAUCUGUGAUGCCCUUAGUUAUCCUACGUCGCASGCGCCAUACAAUGUGGCGCACAACGAGUCUCCUAAGCCGACAGGAAUGCUCGUCGACGKCUGAUGCAUUGGUCCCGUGGGUUGGUGCAUCUACUUUUCGNAAGUGGAUCGCCGACSCGCGGUCGAUCUCGCGACGMUUUCSSGAGNACUUCUGGGCAAUCUUGC